AACUUUUGGCAAUGGAUCACUUGGCUCUUGCAACGAUGAAGAACGCAGUAAAGUGCGAUAUAUAGUGCGAUUUGCAUGAAUCUGUGAGUCAUCUAGUCUUUGAACGCAACUUGCGCCACCUAGUGGCAUGUCUGUUUGAGUACCGCAUACCUAAUGCAGCAAUGCAAGCUGAUCAAACCGCACGGUUUGGUUGAAAUAUAGCUAGUCAAAGAGUGUGAAGCUUUUUCUGUGAGCCAGAGACUUUUGUCUUUCAUGGAGUAAGUAACUAGCUCUCGGUAAGUAGGCAAGUGCAUAACAACACUAACCCAAAACCAACACUAUAUUUGGUCUCAAAUCAGGCAAGACUACCCGCUGAACUUAAGCAUAUCAAUAAGCGGAGGCU
rnacentral:misc_RNA from 1 species